GUGAAAUCUCACGGCUUAACUGUGAGCGUGCGGGCGGUACGGGCAGACUUGAGUACUGCAGGGGAGACUGGAAUUCCUGGUGUAGCGGUGGAAUGCGCAGAUAUCAGGAGGAACACCGGUGGCGAAGGCGGGUCUCUGGGCAGUAACUGACGCUGAGGAGCGAAAGCGUGGGGAGCGAACAGGAUUAGAUACCCUGGUAGUCCACGCCGUAAACGGUGGGUACUAGGUGUGGGUUUCCUUCCUUGGGAUCCGUGCCGUAGCUAACGCAUUAAGUACCCCGCCUGGGGAGUACGGCCGCAAGGCUAAAACUCAAAGAAAUUGACGGGGGCCCGCACAAGCGGCGGAGCAUGUGGAUUAAUUCGAUGCAACGCGAAGAACCUUACCUGGGUUUGACAUGCACAGGACGCCGGCAGAGAUGUCGGUUCCCUUGUGGCCUGUGUGCAGGUGGUGCAUGGCUGUCGUCAGCUCGUGUCGUGAGAUGUUGGGUUAAGUCCCGCAACGAGCGCAACCCUCGUCUCAUGUUGCCAGCGGGUAAUGCCGGGGACUCGUGAGAGACUGCCGGGGUCAACUCGGAGGAAGGUGGGGAUGACGUCAAGUCAUCAUGCCCCUUAUGUCCAGGGCUUCACACAUGCUACAAUGGCCGGUACAAAGGGCUGCGAUGCCGCGAGGUUAAGCGAAUCCUUUUAAAGCCGGU
rnacentral:rRNA from 1 species